GGGCGGUGUGGAUGACCGGCUCGGGCCAGGCUGCGGGGAGCGGCUUAAUUGCCGCCGCAUGCGCGGCGGCGGCGCGUCCAGCACGCCCACCGACCACCA
rnacentral:tRNA from 1 species